CUGCCUCAUACAGGGGGAUAACAGUUAGAAAUGACUGCUAAUACCGCAUAAGCGCACAGGACUGCAUGGUCCGGUGUGAAAAACUCCGGUGGUAUGAGAUGGACCCGCGUCUGAUUAGCUGGUUGGCGGGGUAACGGCCCACCAAGGCGACGAUCAGUAGCCGACCUGAGAGGGUGGCCGGCCACAUUGGGACUGAGACACGGCCCAAACUCCUACGGGAGGCAGCAGUGGGGAAUAUUGCACAAUGGGGGAAACCCUGAUGCAGCAACGCCGCGUGAGUGAAGAAGUAUUUCGGUAUGUAAAGCUCUAUCAGCAGGGAAGAAAAAAGACGGUACCUGACUAAGAAGCUCCGGCUAACUACGUGCCAGCAGCCGCGGUAAUACGUAGGGGGCAAGCGUUAUCCGGAUUUACUGGGUGUAAAGGGAGCGUAGACGGCAUAGCAAGUCUGAAGUGAAAGCCCGUGGCUCAACCGCGGAACUGCUUUGGAAACUGUUAAGCUGGAGUACUGGAGAGGCAAGCGGAAUUCCUAGUGUAGCGGUGAAAUGCGUAGAUAUUAGGAGGAACACCAGUGGCGAAGGCGGCUUGCUGGACAGAGACUGACGUUGAGGCUCGAAAGCGUGGGGAGCAAACAGGAUUAGAUACCCUGGUAGUCCACGCGGUAAACGAUG
rnacentral:rRNA from 1 species